AUUGAACGCUGGCGGCAGGCCUAACACAUGCAAGUCGAACGAGUGGCGGACGGGUGAGUAAUGUCUGGGAAACUGCCCGAUGGAUGGGGAUAACUACUGGAAACGGUAGCUACUACCGCAUACCCUCGGAUGUGCCCAAAUGGGAUUAGCUAGUAGGUGGGGUAAAGGCUCACCUAGGCGACGCUCCCUAGCUGGUCUGCGAGGAGGACCAGCCACACUGGAAAUGAGACACGGUCAAGACUCCUACGGGAGGCAGCAGUGGGGAAUAUUGCACAAUGGUCGCAAGCCUGAUGCAGCCAUGCCGCGUGUAUGAAGAAGGCUUUCGGGUUGUAAAGUACUUUCAGCGGGGAGGCGUUACCCGCAGAAGAAGCACCGGCUAACUCCGUGCCAGCAGCCGCGGUAAUAC
rnacentral:rRNA from 1 species